CGCAGUCAAACUUCAUUGUGAGAUCUACAAGUUAACAUGGCAGCAAUGAGCCCUGGACAUACAGGCAAAUGAAGGGAGAAACCACGGAAUUGGUUUCUAUUGAUGCAAGUUCCUCUAAUUGUCCGUUGAUUGAACGAACACAUGUUCAGUUCUGUAAGUGUUUGAAUAAAAGUGUCAGGGAUGUCUGGCAGACGCUUGGUGACAAGAAAAGCUCCCAUUUUCCAGUGUUCCGAUCCUACAUUGGUAUGGAUAACAAACUUCAUUUAGAUACGGAUACGUGCAGAUGGUUGAAGGCCAGAUUUGGUUUGAUAUAUUUAAAAGACGGACUAGCGCCUUUUUGUGAUGACGUUGCAAAACAACAACAAAGGGAAAUAUUGAAUCACAUUAAACAGACAAAGAAGCUAUUGACUGUAACAUGUAGUGAAUGCGAUCUUGGAACCCUCAAACCGGACCAUGAGAAAACUGAUAACAAAUGUCCAUUUGGUCAAAAGUACUGUAACUGCUGCAAAACGGGUUGUAAAAUUGCUUGCCGAAACAAAGUAUGUGGCGCCAUUUAUGACAAAAUUAUAACUAGCCAUGUUACGAAAGCUCCUAACUGGAAAAACACCGACGUUAAGAAGUGGACUAACGAUUCGUGGAGUAUAGCUAAAUGUUUCAUCUACACUGGUGGAUAUGAGCAGAAGUCAUCAGCAGCCGACACUGACUGCGCGGGAUUGCUGCAUGUGAUUAUAAACAACACAUAUUUUCAUGAUCGCAUUGGGUGCAAAAUCACUGGAUCUGAUGUUUUUACAAAGGUGAGAACAUACAGAAACGAGAUAGUCCACACAAGCACCAUGAAACUAGAAAAGGUACGUCUAGAUACUUACAUAGAUGGUAUGAUUGCUGUGCUACAUGAUGGUAAGGAACUGAAAGGAAAACAAUAUGUACAGGACACUGUAAAGAAACUUGAAGAGCUGAAGAAUGAGGAUUUCAUCAUUACCAGCCAAAGAAGGGAAUGCCAAAUAGUUCUUGCAGAUAUGAAAACAUUAAAGAAAAACAUAGAUAAAGGUCUUGAAGAUAUAAACAAUUCUAUAGAAGGCUUAGCAACUAAGGACGCCUGUGAGAAACUCGAAAGACAGAUUUCUACACUAGAAUCUAUCGUGUCUAAACUAACGGAGGGAAGAAUAGUCAUUAUGUUGACCUCCAGAUCAUUCAAGCUGGUAAGGACUACAAGAAAUCAGCCGAGAUCCAUCUCUCUAAGUCUGAAUCUGCCAUUACUGCUGCAAUGAAGAACCUGUUCUUCAUGUCUGACCACAGCCUUCCAAACAUGUUGAUUUCUGACUUCAAUGACCACUGUAUUGACCAGGGUUGUUCCAGCCUGAAGUCCCCCAAGGUCGACAAACAUACCACUUACGAGCACAGUACGGGUGUCCACGAGAUGCAGGAGUGCAUGGUUUCUGUAAUUUGUGAUAAAUUCUUAAGUAACAUAGGGGACUCAAAGUUCAGUAUCAUGGUGGAUGAGUCUACUGAUGUAUCUGUUGAUCAGAAUAUGUUGAUGUAGUAAAGUCAAGUUUCACUUUAUUUAAACUGAUAAAUGGAUUCACAGUCAUUUAUUUAUAGUCAGGUCGUAUAUCGAUGAUCAGUACUCCGUAUUCCGUUGUAUCAUGUUUGUACUCUGUGUUUCGUUGUAUCAUAUUGUAUCGUACUCCGUGUUUGUAUUAUCAUGUUCAGUCGUGCAUUUGAACUUGUUUUGUAGAUAGAAGACGUUUUCAUUGGUCAGUUAUCUUCAUGCACAAAUAACAACUUUUGGCGCGAACUAACAAUUGCACGGCCCUCUAUUCUUCAUUCUUGAGAAUCAUUGUCCGAGUGAACGCAAGUUACUCUAGAACUAUUGUUAUACUGUAGUAAUUUAAUGUCCUUACCUUUGGACAAUUUACUAUGUCAUAAGUGUACCUUUGCUAGUCGAUUCUGGUAAGAUAUUUUCUUUAGUAUUUGUUCUUUUUAAAUGCAAUGAUAACUUAUUUACCGCGAGAGAUCUAUUUUGUGAAAUCUGUAUUUUUCACAUUCUGCUAUUGUUGUAUUGUAAUUCGUAUUUUCUAUGUUCAUGAUUUUACUGUUUUAUGUUGUAGGUUUUUCUCUACACGUACUAUACUGGUACUGUCCAAUAAAUUGAAGAAACCUCAAAAUAGUUGUGUUAUACAAACUACCUAUACUACAUUGAUAUAUGUGGGAUAUUUAGAACAGUCUCUUGGAUCAUUCUCCCCUAAAAGUGUUCUACUAGAUGUGUGCAAACUUAAAGAUGGUGCUACUGCACACCAAUUGAAGUUGUCUGUUUUAGGGUACCUUAAGGACAAGCAACUCAAUCUGAGUAACUUGAUAGGAAUAAGUACUGAUGGUGCAGCUGUGAUGACUGGAAAGAAGAGCUGGUUAGUGCAGCAACUGAAACAGGAAGUUCCCACACUCCUGAGCACUCACUGUAUCGCCCAUCGUCUGGCCCUUGCCAGUGGUCAGGCAGCAGACACUGUGUCAUACUUGCUAAAAUUCCAGGAACUUGUUAAUAGUAUUUAUAAAUAUUUUGACAAUUCUCCCAAGAACAUGUCCCGUCUGGAAAAGAUAAGUGCAAUAUUGGAAGAAUCCAGUGACUGUGUCCGCUUUAAGUAAGUGUUUCACACCAGGUGGCUCAGUUUUGAGGGCAGUAUUAGAGCCAUUUGUGAGAAUUAUAGUUCCCUCAUUAGUGUGUUGGCUGAGGAUAAGGGAGCUAAGGCUCAGGGUCUUCUGAAGAGCAUAUCCACAUAUAAGUUUGUUUACACAUCGCACUUUCUGGCAGAUGUUUUGAAGCAAUUGGGCAUCUUGUGCAAGACUUUCCAAGUCAAGUUCUAUUGAUUUCACCAGUGUCUCUUCAUGUUUGGAAGUCACUGUUGGUGAAGUCAAGAGGCUGACUGAGUCAAAACAAGGCAUGAUGCUCAAGUGUUUCAAAGCAGCUGUUCCAGAGAGUGUUGAUGGCUCUAGUGAGAGUGAGUAUAAGGGCCAUGUAAUUAAGGAUAGUGAGAAGCAGAGAGUGGAGGCAGAGAGGGCAUGUGAGCAGUUUGGGGAGAGAGUGUUGGUGAACUUGGAGGAGAGAUUUGCAGAGGUGGGUGACAGUAAGAUUUUGAGAGGUUUUUGUGGGAUAUUUGAUCCAUCUGUUUUUGUGAGAGAGGGUGAGGUUUUAGAGGAGUGUAUUAGGACUGUGAGUCAGCAUUUGGGUGAGGAAGAUUUUCGAGAGGAGUACAUGCGCUUCAGGGGUGAGGUUAUAGAAUGUUUUGCAGGGGUGGCAAAUGAUGUGAACAGUGUGUGUCAGUUGGCCCUUAGAAAGAGAGAUAUGUAUGAAUGUGUGGCUGAUGCAGCUUACAGACUGUUGUGCAUCCCUGUGUCGAGUGUAGAGUGUGAGAGAGGGUUUAGUGUACGGAACUUGAUAAAAACCAAACUGAGGAACAGACUUGAUACAAGAUCUUUGUAUUUAUUGAUGAAACUUCUAAUUGAUGGUGGUCCAAAGCAUUCAUUUGAUUUUGCAGCUGCAUAUGGUAAAUGGAAGAACAUGAAAAGCAGGAGAAUCUGUGGUUACUAGAACUUUUUCAUGUUCUGCCAUUUACCAAAUGCUGUUGGAAAAUCACAUGAUCAACAUGAUAGUACAAGUAUUCAUGAAAUUGCCAUAUUUCACAUACUUUGCAUUUGUCUAUAUAUUUUUUGAUGCAAUGUCUAAAUCAUGUUUUCAUGGAAAUGAUAGAAUCCAUGUUUUUGGGACUGAGCUACCCAGAAGUAGUGAUUAUUUUUUUUGAAAUUUGUUGAUGUCUAUACAUAUUUCAUUGUUGAAUUUGUUUCCCUUCUUUGCUAUAUGAUAAGCUUUGGUGUAAUGGUCAUUUUGUAAGGGAGCUAACUGAGCUUUGUUUGUACAUUUUUGUGGAAGAGAGACAACUAAAACAUAAACUUGUUUGGUUAAAAUUGUCUCCUAUUAAUGAUUUAGAUUGUUUACAGUGCAGCCUCUCUGAUUGACUACUUAUCUUAACAUGAUAAAUCAAUGUAUAUGUGUAUGCAUCUGAUUGUUGAGUUAUUUGUAGCUUUGUUGAAUGUAGAAAAUAAAAUAAAAAAUACUGAACUGAU